GCGCUUUUAGUUUAGUGGCAGAAUGAAAGCUUCCCAAGCUUUAGACGCGAGUCCGAUUCUCGCAAAGCGCA
rnacentral:tRNA from 1 species